GGCUGGUUAGCUCAGCUGGUUAGAGCAUGGUGCUGAUAACACCAAGGUUGUGGGUUCGAUCCCCAUUUGGUCCC
rnacentral:tRNA from 1 species